GAUGAACGCUGGCGGCGUGCUUAACACAUGCAAGUCGAACGGAAAGGCCCAAGCUUGCUUGGGUACUCGAGUGGCGAACGGGUGAGUAACACGUGGGUGAUCUGCCCUGCACUUCGGGAUAAGCCUGGGAAACUGGGUCUAAUACCGGAUAGGACCACAUUUUGGAUGGUGUGGUGGAAAGUUUUUCGGUGUGGGAUGAGCUCGCGGCCUAUCAGCCUGUUGGUGGGGUAAUGGCCUACCAAGGCGUCGACGGGUAGCCGGCCUGAGAGGGUGUACGGCCACAUUGGGACUGAGAUACGGCCCAGACUCCUACGGGAGGCAGCAGUGGGGAAUAUUGCACAAUGGGCGCAAGCCUGAUGCAGCGACGCCGCGUGGGGGAUGACGGCCUUCGGGUUGUAAACUCCUUUCGCUAGGGACGAAGCGUUAUGUGACGGUACCUGGAGAAGAAGCACCGGCUAACUACGUG
rnacentral:rRNA from 1 species